rnacentral:rRNA from 1 species
GAUGAACGCUGGCGGCGUGCCUAAUACAUGCAAGUCGAGCGAACAGAUGAGGAGCUUGCUCCUCUGACGUUAGCGGCGGACGGGUGAGUAACACGUGGAUAACCUACCUAUAAGACUGGGAUAACUUCGGGAAACCGGAGCUAAUACCGGAUAAUAUAUUGAACCGCAUGGUUCAAUAGUGAAAGACGGUUUUGCUGUCACUUAUAGAUGGAUCCGCGCCGCAUUAGCUAGUUGGUAAGGUAACGGCUUACCAAGGCAACGAUGCGUAGCCGACCUGAGAGGGUGAUCGGCCGCACUGGAACUGAGACACGGUCCAGACUCCUACGGGAGGCAGCAGUAGGGAAUCUUCCGCAAUGGGCGAAAGCUUGACGGAGCAACGCCGCGUGAGUGAUGAAGGUCUUCGGAUCGUAAAACUCUGUUAUUAGGGAAGAACAAAUGUGUAAGUAACUAUGCACGUCUUGACGGUACCUAAUCAGAAAGCCACGGCUAACUACGUG